UGAGUAAUGUCUGGGAAACUGCCCGAUGGAGGGGGAUAACUACUGGAAACGGUAGCUAAUACCGCAUAACGUCGCAAGACCAAAGUGGGGGACCUUCGGGCCUCACACCAUCGGAUGUGCCCAGAUGGGAUUAGCUAGUAGGUGGGGUAAUGGCUCACCUAGGCGACGAUCCCUAGCUGGUCUGAGAGGAUGACCAGCCACACUGAAACUGAGACACGGUCCAGACUCCUACGGGAGGCAGCAGUGGGGAAUAUUGCACAAUGGGCGCAAGCCUGAUGCAGCCAUGCCGCGUGUAUGAAGAAGGCCUUCGGGUUGUAAAGUACUUUCAGCGGGGAGGAAGGCGGUGAAGUUAAUAGCUUCACCGAUUGACGUUACCCGCAGAAGAAGCACCGGCUAACUCCGUGCCAGCAGCCGCGGUAAUACGGAGGGUGCAAGCGUUAAUCGGAAUUACUGGGCGUAAAAGCGCACGCAGGCGGUCUGUCAAAUUCGGAUGUGAAAUCCCCGGG
rnacentral:rRNA from 1 species